GACGAACCGAGCGAACGUUGUUCGGAAUCACUGGGCUUAAAGGGCGCGUAGGCGGCCGCCGCAAGUCAGUUGUGAAAUCUCCGAGCUUAACUCGGAAAGGUCAACUGAUACUGCGGGGCUAGAGUGCGGAAGGGGCAACUGGAAUUCUUGGUGUAGCGGUGAAAUGCGUAGAUAUCAAGAGGAACACCUGCGGCGAAGGCGGGUUGCUGGGCCGACACUGACGCUGAGGCGCGAAAGCUAGGGGAGCGAACGGG
rnacentral:rRNA from 1 species